CAUCGACACUUAUCUUGAGAACUCCAUUGAUGUCCUGGUGGGGACUUUUGGCGAACUCGCGCAGUGCACUUUCCCAUGCAGGCUCCUCUCUUCCACAUAAGAACGAGCCCAACACUUCAAGGGCUAACGGCAGGCCGUUAGCAUAACGCACCGCUCUAUCUAUGAGAUCCCUUCUUAUCUCAACUUUCUUGCUACUUCGAAAGGCAUGCC